rnacentral:snRNA from 10 species
UGCCUUGUGUAUCAUAGUAUCAUAGUCUGUGAAGAACAAUUGAGAUAUUAUUAUAGCUGGUUGAAAACUUAACCCAAUACCCUGCCAGGAUGAAUUGGAACUAGCAAUUCCUAACAAUUCUUGCCUGUCUCCAACAGA